GACGAACGCUGGCGGCGUGCCUAAUACAUGCAAGUCGAGCGGACCGGAUUGGGGCUUGCCUUGAUUCGGUCAGCGGCGGACGGGUGAGUAACACGUGGGCAACCUGCCCGCAAGACCGGGAUAACUCCGGGAAACCGGAGCUAAUACCGGAUAACACCGAAGACCGCAUGGUCUUCGGUUGAAAGGCGGCCUUUGGGCUGUCACUUGCGGAUGGGCCCGCGGCGCAUUAGCUAGUUGGUGAGGUAACGGCUCACCAAGGCGACGAUGCGUAGCCGGCCUGAGAGGGUGACCGGCCACACUGGGACUGAGACACGGCCCAGACUCCUACGGGAGGCAGCAGUAGGGAAUCUUCCGCAAUAGGCGAAAGCCUGACGGAGCGACGCCGCGGGAGCGAAGAAGGCCUUCGGGUCGGAAAGCUCUGUUGUGAGGGACGAAGGAGCGUCGUUCGAAGAGGGCGGCGCGGUGACGGUACCUCACGAGAAAGCCCCGGCUAACUACGUG
rnacentral:rRNA from 1 species